rnacentral:rRNA from 1 species
UACGGAGGGGGCGAGCGUUGUCCGAAGUUACUGGGCGUAAAGCGCGCGUAGGCGGGUUGCUAAGUCCGCUGUGAAAGCCCGAGGCUUAACCUCGGAGGGUCGGUGGAUACUGGCAGUCUUGAAGGUGGUAGAGGUAAGUGGAAUUCCUAGUGUAGCGGUGAAAUGCGUAGAGAUUAGGAAGAACACCAGUGGCGAAGGCGGCUCUCUGGGACGGUACUGACGCUGAGACGCGAAAGCGUGGGGAGCGAACAGG